rnacentral:rRNA from 1 species
GUGGCCCCAAGUCAGGCGAGGCCCACCCGCYGA